UACGUAGGCAGCAAGCGUUGUUCGGAAUUACUGGGCGUAAAGAGUGUGUAGGCGGUGCUCUAAGUUCGGUGUGAAAUCUCCCGGCUUAACUGGGAGGGUGCGCCCGAAACUGCAUUGCUUGAGUACCGGAGAGGAUGGUGGAAUUCCCGAAGUAGAGGUGAAAUUCGUAGAUAUCGGGAGGAACACCGGUGGCGAAGGCGACCAUCUGGACGGAUACUGACGCUGAGACGCGAAAGCGUGGGUAGCAAACAGG
rnacentral:rRNA from 1 species